rnacentral:rRNA from 1 species
UAGUGGCGAACGGGUGAGUAACACGUGGGCAAUCUGCCCUUCACUCUGGGACAAGCCCUGGAAACGGGGUCUAAUACCGGAUAACACUCUGUCCCGCAUGGGACGGGGUUGAAAGCUCCGGCGGUGAAGGAUGAGCCCGCGGCCCUAUCAGCUUGUUGGUGGGGUGAUGGCCUACCAAGGCGACGACGGGUAGCCGGCCUGAGAGGGCGACCGGCCACACUGGGACUGAGACACGGCCCAGACUCCUACGGGAGGCAGCAGUGGGGAAUAUUGCACAAUGGGCGAAAGCCUGAUGCAGCGACGCCGCGUGAGGGAUGACGGCCUUCGGGUUGUAAACCUCUUUCAGCAGGGAAGAAGCGAGAGUGACGGUACCUGCAGAAGAAGCGCCGGCUAACUACGUGCCAGCAGCCGCGGUAAUACGUAGGGCGCAAGCGUUGUCCGGAAUUAUUGGGCGUAAAGAGCUCGUAGGCGGCUUGUUGCGUCGGUUGUGAAAGCCCGGGGCUUAACCCCGGUUCUGCAGUCGAUACGGNCAGGCUAGAGUGGGGUAGGGNAGAUCGGAAUUCCU